rnacentral:rRNA from 1 species
UACGUAGGGGGCAAGCGUUGUCCGGAUUUACUGGGCGUAAAGCGCGCGUAGGCGGCUCGUUAAGUGUGAAGUGAAAUCCCUGGGCUCAACUCAGGAACUGCUUUACAUACUGGCGAGCUUGAGGGAUGCAGAGGUCUGUGGAAUUCCUGGUGUAACGGUGAAAUGUGUUGAUAUCAGGAGGAACACCCAUGGCGAAGGCAGCAGACUGGGCAUCGCCUGACGCUGAGGUGCGAAAGCGUGGGUAGCAAACAGG